GAUGAACGCUGGCUACAGGCUUAACACAUGCAAGUCGAGGGGAAACGACGGGGAAGCUUGCUUCCCCGGGCGUCGACCGGCGCACGGGUGAGUAACGCGUAUCCAACCUGCCUCUGACUGAGGGAUAACCCGUCGAAAGUCGGCCUAAUACCUCAUGGCAUCGUCUGCGGGCAUCCAACGACGAUUAAAGAUUUCAUCGGUCAGAGAUGGGGAUGCGUCUGAUUAGCUUGUUGGCGGGGUAACGGCCCACCAAGGCGACGAUCAGUAGGGGUUCUGAGAGGAAGGUCCCCCACAUUGGAACCGAGACACGGUCCAAACUCCUACGGGAGGCAGCAGUGAGGAAUAUUGGUCAAUGGGCGAGAGCCUGAACCAGCCAAGUAGCGUGCAGGAUGACGGCCCUAUGGGUUGUAAACUGCUUUUAUGCGGGGAUAAAGUGAGGGACGUGUCCUUCAUUGCAGGUACCGCAUGAAUAAGGACCGGCUAAUUCCGUG
rnacentral:rRNA from 1 species